rnacentral:rRNA from 1 species
AUUGAACGCUGGCGGCAGGCCUAACACAUGCAAGUCGAACGAGUGGCGGACGGGUGAGUAAUGUCUGGGAAACUGCCCGAUGGAGGGGGAUAACUACUGGAAACGGUAGCUAAUACCGCAUACCAUCAGAUGUGCCCAGAUGGGAUUAGCUAGUAGGUGGGGUAACGGCUCACCUAGGCGACGAUCCCUAGCUGGUCUGAGAGGAUGACCAGCCACACUGGAACUGAGACACGGUCCAGACUCCUACGGGAGGCAGCAGUGGGGAAUAUUGCACAAUGGGCGAAAGCCUGAGGCAGCCAUGCCGCGUGUAUGAAGAAGGUCUUCGGGUUGUAAAGUACUUUCAGUUGGGAGGCGUUACCCGCAGAAGAAGCACCGGCGAACUCCGUGCCAGCAGCCGCGGUAAUUC